rnacentral:rRNA from 1 species
GACGAACGCUGGCGGCGUGCCUAAUACAUGCAAGUCGAGCGAAGUUUUUCUGGUGCUUGCACUAGAAAAACUUAGCGGCGAACGGGUGAGUAACACGUAAAGAACCUGCCUCAUAGACUGGGACAACUAUUGGAAACGAUAGCUAAUACCGGAUAACAGUAUUUCUCGCAUGAGAGAUAUUUAAAAGUUGGUUAUGCUAACACUAUGAGAUGGCUUUGCGGUGCAUUAGCUAGUUGGUGGGGUAAAGGCCCACCAAGGCGACGAUGCAUAGCCGACCUGAGAGGGUGAUCGGCCACACUGGGACUGAGACACGGCCCAGACUCCUACGGGAGGCAGCAGUAGGGAAUCUUCCGCAAUGGGCGAAAGCCUGACGGAGCAACGCCGCGUGAGUGAAGAAGGAUUUCGGUUCGUAAAGCUCUGUUGUUAGGGAAGAAUGGAUAUGUAGUAACUAUACAUGUACGAGACGGUACCUAACCAGAAAGCCACGGCUAACUACGUGCCAGCAGCCGCGGUAAUACGUAGGUGGCAAGCGUUGUCCGGAAUUAUUGGGCGUAAAGCGCGCGCAGGUGGUUUAAUAAGUCUGAUGUGAAAGCCCACGGCUCAACCGUGGAGGGUCAUUGGAAACUGUUAAACUUGAGUGCAGGAGAGAAAAGUGGAAUUCCUAGUGUAGCGGUGAAAUGCGUAGAGAUUAGGAGGAACACCAGUGGCGAAGGCGGCUUUUUGGCCUGUAACUGACACUGAGGCGCGAAAGCGUGGGGAGCAAACAGG